CCCAUCCCGAACAGGACCGUGAAACGACUUUGCGCCGAUGAUAGUGCUGCAACCAGUGUGAAAGUAGGUUAUCGUCAGGC
rnacentral:rRNA from 1 species